AGUCAUUACCUCAACCGCAAGGAGGGGGAUGCCUAAGGCAGGGCUAGUGACUGGGGUGAAGUCGUAACAAGGUAGCCGUACCGGAAGGUGUGGCUGGAUCACCUCCUUAAAGGGAGACCUAAUUCAGGUAGGGGACGAAAAAAAAGUAGUCCCUACCAAGAAUCAAUCCCAAAAGGUCGGAGCGAGGCAAGAUUGGCUUUCAAACUAGGUUCUGGGUUCAUACAAGACCUGAAUCAGGAACAAGGGCUAUUAGCUCAGGUGGUUAGAGCGCACCCCUGAUAAGGGUGAGGUCCCUGGUUCGAGUCCAGGAUGGCCCACCUGCACAGGUGGAAAAAAGAAAAAAAGCUCCGAAUCAGCACCUUAUCUUACUUAUAUAGUAAGAGAGAAUGCUGGCUCUGAGUUCAGAGUCCAGAGGAACCUUGAAAACUGCAUAGAGCUAGGUGAAAAAGCCAAAAAAGAAGACCGCAAG
rnacentral:misc_RNA from 2 species